UCUAAUGGGAAGGGGGCAGUCUGGUGCCAGCAGCCGCGGUAAUUCCAGCUCCAAAAGCGUAUAUUAAAGUUGUUGCAGUUAAAAAGCUCGUAGUUGAACCUUGGGCUUGGCUGGCCGGUCCAUCUUUUUUGAUGCGUACUGGACCCAGCCGAGCCUUUCCUUCUGGCUAGCCUUUUUGGCGAACCAGGACUUUUACUUUGAAAAAAUUAGAGUGUUCAAAGCAGGCCUUUGCUCGAAUAUAUUAGCAUGGAAUAAUAGAAUAGGACGUUAUGGUUCUAUUUUGUUGGUUUCUAGGACCAUCGUAAUGAUUAAUAGGGACGGUCGGGGGUAUCAGUAUUCAGUAGUCAGAGGUGAAAUUCUUGGAUUUACUGAAGACUAACUACUGCGAAAGCAUUUACCAAGGACGUUUUCAUUAAUCAAGAACGAAAGUUAGGGGAUCGAAGAUGAUCAGAUACCGUCGAUUCAACC
rnacentral:rRNA from 1 species